rnacentral:rRNA from 1 species
UGAGUACGAGAUGCUACGGCAUCGAAGCAGUCUAUGUCAUACUUCCAAGAAAAGCUUGCACUAUCAGAAACAGAUAAUGCCUGUACCAUAACCGACACAGGUGGGUAGGUAGAGUAUACUAAGGGGCGCGAGAUAACUCUCUCUAAGGAACUCGGCAAAAUGACUCCGUAACUUCGGGAGAAGGAGUGCCUUAUUUUAAGGUUGCAAUAACAAGAUCCAAGCAACUGUUUACCAAAAACACAGGUCUCCGCUAAGUCGUAAGACGAUGUAUGGGGGCUGACGCCUGCCCAGUGCCAGAAGGUUAAAGAAGUCGGUUAGCAUUCGCGAAGCUGGUAACUGAAGCCCUGGUGAACGGCGGCCGUAACUAUAACGGUCCUAAGGUAGCGAAAUUCCUUGUCGGGUAAGUUCCGACCCGCACGAAAGGCGUAAUGAUUUGGAUACUGUCUCGGAGAGGGGCUCGGUGAAAUAGACUUGUCUGUGAAGAUGCGGACUACCUGCACCUGGACAGAAAGACCCUAUGAAGCUUUACUGUAACUUGAAAUUGAAAUUGGACUUUAUUUGCGCAGUAUAGGUGGGAGGCGUUGAAAAUAUUCUUGCGGGAAUAUUGGAGCCAUCAGUGAGAUACCACUCUUGUAAUGUUAGAUUUCUAACUUUAUAUCAUUAUCUGGUUAAAGAACAGUUUCAGGCGGGCAGUUUGACUGGGGCGGUCGCCUCCCAAAUGGUAACGGAGGCGCACAAAGGUUUCCUCUGAACGGGUAGAAAUCGUAUCUAGAGUGUAAAGGCAUAAGGAAGCUUGACUGUGAGACCUACAAGUCGAGCAGGGACGAAAGUCGGUCUUAGUGAUCUGGCGGUGCUGAGUGGAAAGGCCGUCACUCAACGGAUAAAAGUUACUCUAAGGAUAACAGGCUGAUCUCCCCCAAGAGUUCACAUCGACGGGGAGGUUUGGCACCUCGAUGUCGGCUCAUCGCAUCCUGGGGCGGUAGUACGUCCCAAGGGUUGGGCUGUUCGCCCAUGAAAGCGGUACGCGAGCUGGGUUCAGAACGUCGUGAGACAGUUCGGUCCAUAUCCGGUGUAGGCGUUAGAAUAUUGAGAGGAGCCUUCUUUAGUACGAGAGGACCGAGAAGGACAUACCUCUGGUGUACCAGUUAUCGUGCCAACGGUAAACGCUGGGUAGCUAUGUAUGGAGUGGAUAACCGCUGAAAGCAUCUAAGUGGGAAGCCCACCUCAAGAUAAGUAUUCUCA